UUUAUGUCACUUGCCCAACUCCAUUUCUCAGGGUAAUUCGACUGUUUUACUCUUCGUAACUGUGGGGUGCUUAAAACUCCUUCAGUAAAGGUCUUUAAUCUAGGACAGCGUUCCACAAACAAUUCUUCCAAACAAGGGAAGCUGAAGGUGUAAUUCCUUGAACAAAAGCUUUUGAGUCUCCGUAAAUAGCUUAGUUCUAAACAUUUCAAUUUACUCACAACUAUUGUCUGAGGGAAGUCUCCCCCAUUUCCCACUAUUUCUGUCAUUUUAGUGCAAAACAUCACCCUCAUUCUCGUUAAUUGCACAAGAUUCUUAACCACUAAGGGUGUAACUAAGUUUGUCAUCAUUUGACAAAAUGACACAUCCAAAGUUGUGACAUUUUGCAAAGAUGAGGAGGAGACUGUAAUAUUUAUCAAAUCAUCACAUCCCCAAACUUCGAGUUUUUGGAGAUUAGAAAGAAUAUGGUCAAACUCCGAAUCUUUCCUCCAUAUAUGAUUAAGAUUCAUGGCACGAUCCAGCAUCAGAUUUCUAAUUGGUGUGAGAGUCCCAACGUCUCUUUUACAAGAGACUACGUAUUUGAAAUCAAAAUCACAAAGCUUAAAACUAUCCAAAUUGUAAAAUCUUCGAACAAAAGGAAAUAUAGAAGAUCGAGAGCCACCACGCACUUCAAAAACUUUAAUAUCUUGAAACAAGGCUGGUGGAAACUGUUCCAUAUCACCAAAAUUUAAUAACUCAAGUUCCUCUAAAUUGGGAAUGACCUUGAAACCAAUUAAACAUACACAAGUUAGGCACAAUGUUGAUCUAUAUGCUUAAAAAGAACAUGAGAUCUACAAUUUUGGUGUUUGAUAUCGAUGAUUAAAUCUCAACAAAAUCAAUAUUAAAUCAAACCAAUCCAAAAUAGAUGAAUAUUUUGUUUUAAGAAAGCACAAUACCUUGGAAAUAAAAAAUGAUAAAAAAAUAAGCUGAAAGAAGUGCAUAAAAAAUCUGAAUUAAAAUGGAUAAGCAACCACCGUUUCAAAUAAUAUAUAUAUAUCAACAAGAGAUGGAUGUGACGGUGGCUUAAAUCAUGAAAAGAAAUAUAGUUGUAAUGAUAUACAUACCUCUUCAACCAACAAAACUGGCUGCUCAUUUCCUUGGAUUAAUCUAAGAUGUUCCGAAGCCACUAUCUUUAGCAAAGCAGAACAAUCUGUUUUCAAUUUUUUCAACAGGGGCCAGACUAUUGUAUGUUGCCCUUCAUAGAAACAUUUGAGCUCUUUUAGGGAUGUAACCUCCAGGGAAGACACUUGCGGAAAUUCAAACCUUACAGGCUGCUCCUCCGCUCCUUCCCCUUUCGAUACAAUCUUCUCCACUCCACAAUUAGUGAUGCAUAAAUCUUCAAGUUGUGGAAGAUCUUUGGCUAUUGAAACUGGAAAUAGAUUUUUCAGACUCCCACAUCCCUCAACUCUUAUUUUUCGUAGAUUUUGAAAAGAACCUGGUGCAAAGUCAUUAUGAAACAUCAUUUUCACAUUUCUCAACUUCUGGAUUAUCAUCUUUUCCAACUUAGGAAAUGCAACCUACAUAUAAUUCGUGCCGGUACAAAAGUUAGCUCAUAUAAUGCCAGACAAAAUAACAAGGAAAAAUCAACAGAAUUAUAUAAGAGCGUAAGAGUAAUGAAAUAAAUCACCUUCUCACUGAAGAGAGCGUGCAUGCCAGACUCAUUACUACUCUGACUAAUGAAUUCUAUAAAAUUGGGGCAAUGCCCAAUCCAUAGCUCUUCCAGCAAUGGGAACUCGAUAUUAUGGUUUCCUGAGCUGAAGAAGAUGAGGUUUGGAAGACCACCUAUACACAGGGAGUUUAAUCGAGGGAAACAAAUCACAUCUUCCCUUUCUUCUUCAAUUUCCUCUAUAAGUAUUAUGUCCCUUAAGCACUUGCAAUUCUCUAUCUUAAAGCAUUGGAGCUGCACCAGACUUCUAGCGAGAGAGGGUGAUAACAGAUGCUCCAACUUCCCACAUCCUUCGAUGAUCAAGCUCCUCAAAUUCGUAAUCCAAUGACAUGCCUGGUUGUGCCAUAUUAUUUUGGUGUUAAUUGCAAGCUUUCCAAGUGAUGGAAAACAAAUUGCACAUAUUUACACAAUUAUUUUUAUUCUUUAAAAUCUAAAAAGAGAGGAAAGGGAAAGAUAGAAUGUAGCAUAAUUUGGAAAUAUGAUUUUAAAUUUUAAAGACAAUUUUAGUUGGAAGUGUUGGUUCCAAUUUCAUUUUCAGAAUUAAAAAAAUUUGUUAGGCAGUCAGUUUGGAUUAGAAAUUAAAUUUACAUUUGUUUUGAGUUUGAAAUUUAUUUUUGAACCCUGAAAACCAUUAUACAAUAUUAUUUAUUUUUAUUAUUAGAAGUAUUACUAACUAAAAGUUGUAUAAGAAAUUAUGAAUAAAAGCAAACAGAUACCUGUUUAUUGAAAAGUGGUAAGGGCUCGGAAAUAAUAGAACACCUUUCGUCUUGGGAGCAAAAGCUAAUGAGUUGCGGUAGAUUUUCAAGUGUGAUGGAGCAUAAUUCAGAAACCCCAAUUUCAUUCAUUGUAAUAUACUGUACAUGCAUACCAUUUUUUAUGUGAAGUCUCUUUAAAUGUGGAAGAUCUUUCCCAUUAUCUAACUCCACAAGUACGUUCUUGACGCCUUCAAGUCCCUCUAGGUACAAAGCUUCAGUCUUUAUCAGUAACAUUUUCAACCCAUUGUCCAAAUGAAUGUUUGUACAUAACGUGAGCCUCAAUGUUCUCAAACAUUCAUGACUUUGGUACCAUACCAAUGUUAACAUUAAUGGGAGACAACAUUAAUGGCAAACAAUACAAAGUGGUGCAAGUUUAGCACCCUAAAGUUGACUUUGAAAAAGUGGCAUGGGAUAAUUUUUUUUGGUCCUUGAGAUAAUGGGCUAUUUAUUGUUUGGUCCUUAAACCUCAACUAUAAAUAGGCCUUCUCAUUUCUCAUUUCAAUUCAUCCCAACCAAUCUUUCUCUCUUAGUUUUCUCUCUUCUCCCAUUUGAGAAUUCUUAAGGAAUUCUAUUUGUUUGUAAUACUUUGGAGAUAGUAAAGUUAUCAUCUGGUGUUAGUGCCCGAGGACGUAGGUAUAAUUUACCGAACCUCGUUAAAUCUCUUGUGUUCUUUCUUGUCCUAUUUUUCUUUCAAUAUUUGAGGGUAUAAUAGUAGUAUUUAAUUGUGCUAUUAAAUUACUAUAGAAGGGAUAUUCUGUCUAAGGAAAGACUUGGUAUUUAAGAGAUCCAUGUGAUCCACCUCUCUUCCCUGGGAAUUGAACUUUGUGUGAUUUUUUAGUACAAUAAUUUACACGCUUCCGACCCUAUUGGAACAACAAGUGGUAUCAAGAGCCGAAGGUUAAUCGUAGUAUGCUCUGUGGUUGCAGUUUAAACCGAUCUUCCACAUCAGAAAAGAUUUCCUUAGGUAUAUUGAAAGAUUAUGGAGAAAACGGUCGGUGUAGGAGCUUCAACAUCGUCCAUGUGGACAAGACCGACAAUUGCAAAUGCAAGAUUGGCCGUGGAGAUCUUUGAUGGCACGGGCCAUUUUGGUAUGUGGCAAAGUGAGGUUCUAGAUGCCCUUUUUCAGCAGGGUCUAGACAUUGCCAUUGAUGAAGAGAAACCAGAUGAUGUACAGGAGAAAGAUUGGAAGGCGAUCAAUCGGUUGGCAUGUGGCACAAUUCGAUCAUGCCUUUCUCGAGAGCAGAGGUAUGCUUUUUCAAAGGAGACUUCUGCAAAUAAGUUGUGGGUGGCACUUGAAGAAAAAUUUUUGAAGAAAAACAGUCAAAAUAAGCUCCACUUGAAGAAAAGACUGUUUCGCUUCACAUACGUCCCAAGUACCACAAUGAAUGAUCACAUCACCAAAUUUAAUCAGUUAGUCACUGAUUUGCUGAAUAUGGAUGAGACAUUCAAAGAUGAAGAUUUGACUUUGAUGCUGUUGGGGUCACUUCCUGAGGAGUUUGAGUUCCUAGAAACUACUCUACUUCAUGGCAGGAGUGAUAUAUCUCUGAGCGAAGUCUGUGCAGCCUUAUACAGUUAUGAACAGAGAAAGAAGGACAAACAGAAAAACUCAAUCAGAGAUACAGAAGCUUUAGUAGUCCGAGGUCGUUCAUACACUCGGAAGAAAACUCAAAAGGGGAGAUCAAAGUCAAAGUCCAGACUCGGGAAAGAUGAAUGUACUUUUUGUCAUCAGAAAGGCCACUGGAAGAAAAAUUGUCCAAAGCUGAAGAAUAAGGGAAAAGCUGCUGUAGAUGCUUGUGUUGCAAAGCAUGAUACUAGUGACUCUGAACUAUCACUGGUUGCAUCAUCAUCGUCGUUCCAUUCAGAUGAGUGGAUAUUGGAUUCGGGUUGUACCUAUCAUAUGUCCCCUAACCGGGAGUGGUUCUCUGAUUUAGUAGAACUAAAUGGAGGAGUUGUUUAUAUGGGCAAUGACAAUGCCUGUAAAACUGUUGGGAUAGGUUCAAUCCAAUUAAAGAAUCAAGAUGGAUCAACCAGAGUUCUGACUGAUGUUCGGUACGUGCCCAGUUUGAAGAAAAAUCUCAUCUCAUUGGGAGCCUUGGAAUCCAAUAGUUCAGUUGUUACUAUGAGAGAUGGGAUUUUGAAAGUGACAUCUGGCGCACUUGUGAUAUUGAAGGGCAUCAGGAAAAAUAACUUGUAUUACUACCAAGGUAGUACAGUGAUUGGAGCAGUCGCUGCAGCUUCCGGCAACAAAGAAUUGGACUCAAUACAGUUGUGGCAUAUGAAGUUGGGACAUGCCAGCGAAAAAUCCUUGCAAAUUCUGGCAAAGCAAGGAUUGUUGAAAGGUGCAAAGGCUUGCAAAUUAAAAUUUUGUGAGCACUGUGUUCUGGGAAAGCAAAAGAGAGUGAAAUUCGGCACUGCUAUCCAUAAUACAAAAGGUAUUUUGGAAUAUAUUCACUCAGAUGUGUGGGGGCCUUCCAAAACACCUUCGUUGGGAGGAAAACACUACUUUGUUACUUUUGUUGAUGACUUUUCCAGAAGAGUUUGGGUGUAUACCAUGAAAACUAAAGAUGAAGUGCUUGGAGUUUUUCUUAAAUGGAAAACUAUGAUCGAAAACCAGACUGGCAAGAAAAUCAAGCGGCUUAGGACGGACAAUGGAGGGGAAUAUAAAAGUGAUCCGUUCUUCGAUGUGUGCCAAGAGUAUGGUAUUGUUCGACACUUCACAGUUAGGGAUACACCACAGCAGAAUGGAUUGGCAGAGCGUAUGAAUCGAACAUUGCUGGAGAAAGUUCGAUGUAUGUUGUCCAAUGCUGGGUUGGGCAAGCAAUUUUGGGCUGAGGCUGUGACAUACGCUGGCCAUCUUAUUAAUCGUUUGCCAUCAUCUGCAUUAGAAAGAAAAACUCCUAUGGAGGUAUGGUCUGGAAAACCGGCUACAGAUUAUGAUUCCUUACAUGUGUUUGGAUCCACUGCAUAUUACCAUGUGAAGGAGUCAAAGUUAGAUCUGAGGGCAAAGAAAGCUCUCUUUAUGGGAAUCACUUCUGGAGUGAAGGAAUUUCGUCUUUGGUGCUUAAGCACAAAGAAAAUGAUCUGUAGCAGAGAUGUUACCUUUGAUGAAUCUGCCACAUUGAAAAAGGUAACAGAUAAAGAUAUUCAGACGAGCAAUACUCCACAGCAGGUGGAGUGUACUUCAAAACAGGUGGAGUUUGAGCAGAUGGGGAUUUGCCCAGUUAAUAAGUCUAAUUCUCCAGCCACAAUGGAGAAAUUAGAGGUUGAAGAGGUUCUGACCCAAGAACCACUAAGUACACCAGAACCAGUUGCAGUUGCAAGGCCACGGAGAGAAAUUCGUAAACCUGCUCGAUUUACUGAUAUGGUGGCCUACGCCCUUCCCGUUGUUGAUGAUAUUCCUAUCACUUAUCAAGAAGCAAUGCAAAGCUUAGAAAGUGAUAAAUGGAAAAGCGCCAUGGAUGAAGAAAUGCAGUCUCUCCGGAAGAACAAUACUUGGGAGUUGGCGCAAUUACCGAAAGGUAAAAGGGCAAUCGGAUGCAAGUGGGUAUUCGCAAAGAAAGAUGGAUCUCCUAGCAAGAAGGAUAUUCGCUACAAGGCAAGAUUGGUAGCUAAAGGCUACGCUCAAAAGGAGGGAAUUGACUACAAUGAUGUAUUUUCCCCUGUUGUGAAGCAUUCCUCCAUUAGAAUUUUGUUGACCUUGGUAGCACAGUUGAAUUUGGAGCUAGCUCAACUUGAUGUUAAGACAGCUUUCUUGCAUGGUGAGUUAGAAGAGGAGAUCUAUAUGACUCAGCCCGAAGGAUACACAGAUGCUGGUGGUAGAAAUUGGGUUUGUAAGCUUAACAAAUCGCUAUAUGGAUUGAAGCAAUCCCCGAGGCAGUGGUACAAGCGAUUUGAUAGCUUUAUGAGAAGGCAGAAGUACACAAGAAGCAAAUAUGACAAUUGUGUAUAUUUGCAGAAGCUGCAUGACGGAUCUUUCAUUUAUCUACUCUUGUAUGUUGAUGAUAUGUUAAUCGCUUCGAAGAGCCAAAAUGAGAUAGAUAAGCUAAAGGCUCAGUUGAAUCAAGAGUUCGAGAUGAAAGAUCUAGGUGAGGCCAAGAAGAUUCUCGGCAUGGAGAUAAGUAGAGAUAGACCGAGAGGCAAGCUCUGUUUAAAUCAGAAGCAAUAUCUGAAAAAGGUAUUACAAUGUUUUGGUGUAAAUGAAAACACAAAACAUGUAAGUACCCCACUUGCUUCUCAUUUGAAAUUUAGUGCUCAAUUAUCUCCGAAAACUGAAGAAGAAAGAGAAUAUAUGGCGAAAGUCCCAUAUGCUAAUGCAGUUGGGAGUUUGAUGUAUGCGAUGGUGUGUACGAGGCCUGACAUUUCACAAGCUGUUGGAGUUGUGAGCAGGUAUAUGCAUGAUCCUGGAAAAGGACAUUGGCAAGCUGUGAAAUGGAUUCUACGGUAUCUUCGAAAAACCGUAGAUGUUGGUUUAAUUUUUGAACAGGAUGAAGCACUUGGUCAGUUUGUAGUUGGAUAUGUUGAUUCCGACUUUGCUGGUGAUUUAGAUAAACGUCGUUCAACUACGGGGUAUCUGUUUACUCUUGCGAAAGCCCCAGUAAGUUGGAAGUCUACCUUACAGUCUACAGUAGCUGUGUCUACUACAGAGGCAGAAUAUAUGGCAGUUACAGAAGCUGUUAAGGAGGCUAUUUGGCUUAAUAGAUUGUUGAAAGACUUAGGAGUUGUUCAAAGUCACAUAAGUUUAUAUUGUGACAGUCAGAGCGCUAUUCAUUUAGCGAAAAAUCAAGUCUAUCAUUCAAGAACCAAGCAUAUCGACGUAAGAUAUCACUUUGUGCGGGAAGUCUUUGAAAAAGGAAAAAUUCUACUUCAGAAGAUUCCGACAGCAGAUAAUCCCGCAGAUAUGAUGACCAAGGUGGUAACAACAAUCAAGUUUAAUCAUUGUUUGAACUUGAUUAACAUCCUGAGAAUUUGAGCACCUUCAGGUGUAUGGCGCUCGAGAGUGCAUUUGUAGGCACUACAAAAGAUAGCUUUAUCAAAUUUGGGGAGUUGAAGGAAGAGUGUGAAGAUGUGAUUAUCCUAAUCAAAUCUUCAAGGUGGAGAUUGUUAACAUUAAUGGGAGACAACAUUAAUGGCAAACAAUACAAAGUGGUGCAAGUUUAGCACCCUAAAGUUGACUUUGAAAAAGUGGCAUGGGAUAAUUUUUUUUGGUCCUUGAGAUAAUGGGCUAUUUAUUGUUUGGUCCUUAAACCUCAACUAUAAAUAGGCCUUCUCAUUUCUCAUUUCAAUUCAUCCCAACCAAUCUUUCUCUCUUAGUUUUCUCUCUUCUCCCAUUUGAGAAUUCUUAAGGAAUUCUAUUUGUUUGUAAUACUUUGGAGAUAGUAAAGUUAUCAUCUGGUGUUAGUGCCCGAGGACGUAGGUAUAAUUUACCGAACCUCGUUAAAUCUCUUGUGUUCUUUCUUGUCCUAUUUUUCUUUCAAUAUUUGAGGGUAUAAUAGUAGUAUUUAAUUGUGCUAUUAAAUUACUAUAGAAGGGAUAUUCUGUCUAAGGAAAGACUUGGUAUUUAAGAGAUCCAUGUGAUCCACCUCUCUUCCCUGGGAAUUGAACUUUGUGUGAUUUUUUAGUACAAUAAUUUACACGCUUCCGACCCUAUUGGAACAACAACCAACCUAUUAUAAUCACCUACACAAAUAACGUAUUUGUCCAAAGUUUCAACGAAUCGAUGCUUUGGAAUCAUUUGGGCAUCAGAGAUAUGAACAUCUAAAGUAGUUAGACAAGGCAAAUUGUUUAAUUCGUCAAGGCUUGCAUUUUUCUUCUCAUUUUCAGCUACUCCUUCCUUUUCCUAUUCAACAAAGCUUCCACCCAUAUAUAAUUCUUUUAAUUCAGAUAAACUUGAUAAGACAUUUGGUGAGAUGAUUUCGAGUUCUCUACACCAACUCAAAUCUAACAACCUUAAUUGAGUCAAUUGUGCCAUCUCCUUAGGUAGUUCUUUGAUACCUGACUUAGCAAGGUCAAGGAUUUCUAAAUUCUUGAGCUCUCCUAUGACGGUUAUGUCAUCAACUGCAGAUUCUUUUAGACACAACAUGCGAAGGUCUGUGAGGUGAAUAAUUGAUUUAGGUAGGGAUGAAAACUGCAUUCUGAACAAAUCUAAGACUUUGAGGCCUUUGGUUUGUUUGAAAAAAUUGGGAGGAAUUUUAACUGCGCUGGCCAUAUGGAAGAAGGAAAGACCUGAACACUCCAUCUCCUUAGGAAGGUUAGCUAUAAUCUGAGGACAACGUAAGCUGAUCAGACUCCAGCUAUUUAUUUUCUCCUUAUCGGACCACUCCUUUGGAACAUGAUCUCUCAAAACAAGCAUACGAUAGUCCUUCAAUGCAAUAGCUAAAGCAGCAUCCCAAACAACAUCAUGGAUAUCAAAGCGCUCAUCAUUAUAACUAUCAAGCAACAAGGCAGACGCUUUGAGAUUAGCCACAACCGUCAAUACUUUAUUUCUAGCUUCUUCCAUAGUGUAGACACCGUCAAAUAAACCCAAACCUAGAGUAUAUCUUACCAAGUCCUCAACGAGACCAUUAUGGCCUAUUACACUGCAAAGCAAGAAAGUCAGCUUAACUUCCUCGCUUUCUAAAUAAUUAAAAAUCCACUCUAUAGCUGAAUAUGCAGCAUUUAUCCCCAUGAAGUUGCUUGACGAAGUCCUCUCCAGUUCUCGUAAAGCAUUCUUCCAUUCAAACAAUCUUUUGUUUCUCAAAGCCCCUGCAACUGUCGCAAUGGCUAUUGGCAAUCCUGCACAUUUUUUGGCUACCUCCAUAGCUAUAGGCUUCAAAUCGCAACUUUCAACACAGUCGCCAGCCAUCUUCUUGAACAGGUCCCAGGCUUCCUUUUCAUUUAAAACCCCUAUGGGAAAAUUUUUCUGAGCAUCCAUCCCAUUUAAUAAAACAUUGAGUUCCCUAGAAGUUAACAGCAACUUGCAUCCCUUGUGUUCAUCUCCCAAAGGAAUCCCAACUUCCUCAAUAUCUAACUUUUCCCAAAUAUCAUCCAACACAACCAGAAUCCUCUUCUCCUUCAAUCUUUCUCGUAGUCGAAAUGCCUUUCCAACCAUACUCUGUUCCUCAAAUUUCAAGCCCAAGAAGUCUGCAAUUUGGUUCUGAAUCUUCUCAAUAUUGAUGGCUUGAGUUACGGUUGCUAUGACAACCGAAUCAAACAACUUGCCCUUGACCUUUCUAGCGAUUUCUUUGACCAUCGUUGUUUUUCCAAUCCCGCCCAUACCAUGCACCCCAACAACGCUGACGCUAUCAUCUUUUAGUGCCUCCAUUAUUCCAUUCAAAAUCGACAUUCUUGACUCGAAUUCCUCAUAACCUUUAACCGGUGCAACCACAAUACCUUGCGAAGCUACACGAUAGGAAACCCUUUCAAACUUGCCAUGUUCAAGUAGCUCGGCAACAGCCUUUGCCUCCUCUUCAGCUUUCAGGCUAAGCUUGUAACGAGUCCUGAAAUUAGGACACAGACCAAUGAAACACUUUUUCUUUGCUUUUUCUUCAUCUUGGAUCAUUUUCUGUACUUGUUCAAGGAUCAUUUUGUCGACUGCAGACAGCCAUUUGUCAACAUCGCCUUCGAUCUCCUCACCAUUUCGUUUAGCUGCAUCAACAGAAUGCUGCACUCCGUCCCUUGCAUCUUUCAGCCUAUUAGCUCGGUUCUUGAGGGUUUCAACAUAUUUCUGAUGAUUGGAAAGGUAUUUGACAUGGUUUUUGAUAGGAGAGAUCGUAUACUCUACAGCUUUAGCGACAAUAGAGCCAACGAUGGCAAUAACAAACUCCAUUGAGAGAGCAAACUGAAUAACCACAGCGACAACAAAGACCAAAACUUGAAUUAUCCUAUAUUUAAAAAAAGAAAAAAGAAAACUCAUUUGCAUAAUCUUAACUACCAUUGAAGAGUUAGAAUUUUAAAAUUAUAAAUAUGUGAUUAAUGUUUUACUUUUAUGGCAAUUAAAGUGACGUUGUUAAUAUAUUACUUUUUAUUAAUACAGACAUAUAUCUAAUAAGUAUCUUUUUUUAAGGAAUAUUUUUUCCUAAGCAUUGAAGGAAUAAAUUUUCUUUUUACACUUUGAAUAUUUUUUCAACACAUCUUUUAAAAAUUUGUUUUUAAUUAUUGUUUAAAAAUUAAAUCUUUCUAAUUAUUUUGAAAUACUAUUUUUUAUCAUGAAAUUAAAUUUCUUUUAAAUUAAUUUAAACUAAUUCAAAAUUAAACCUAUUUCUUAUAUUUUGAUUAAGGCAAUAAUUUAUGGGUGAUUAUUUGGUAUACUAGCAAUAUUUUUUUAGUCCACAAGCUGUUUUAAAAAAUUUAUGUCUCUUUUUUAAAAUAUUUAAUUUUUUUAUAUUUUACUAUACUCUUAUAGGACACUUGUCAAUCUCUUGACCCUACUUUGACCUUACUGAUGGAGACUAAAAAUAUUGUUGGAAAAAUUACUUUUAUUGGAGCUUUGAGGCAUAUUCUCAAUAGGUAAAAGUGGAGAGUUGAAUCAUAAUUUUAUGGUUUCAUAUUCUACUCCAUGAGUCCUUUAUAAUGGCAUAUCAUAUGCUCAAAAUAGUUGAGUGGUGAAUGAGAAAUUGAUGCUCAAAGUAAGCUAGUUGAAAUAUUGUUGAGAAAAAGUAAAGGCUUAGAUCCACAUUGGUUAAAUACCAAGUGUGAGAUGUGCUUAUAUAUGUGAACUCUCUGUAAAAAUAAUUGAAUAACUAUGCUUGUAACCUUGUCUCACGCGUAGGGGGUGUAGGUCCAAAUUUGAUGGGGUUGGGCGCGCACCUGCAUGACGUGGGCGAUCCAAAAUGUUUUGACCAGUCCAUGCGGAUAUUUUAAGCCCAAUACGAAUUUAUUUUUUCUCAGCAGACAUAAUCUACUUAUAUAUGGACAGUAACUGAUUUGAUUUAAUUUUUAAAUUAAAUUGAUUUUUGGCUUCUUAUCCGAAAUGCCUAUAAAAGGCUGUGUAUUCUAGAGUAUUAAACACACAUUCAAAUAAUUUUUUAUGCCGAAAUUCUGUUGAUUUCAAAACUCUUCAAUUUCCUCUUCGUUUUUCAAACAUUCCGGUGAUAGAAAAAGGCAAAAUUCGUUCGUUGAUUGUUGUAGAGGUGCUACUACUUUGAUCACUUUUGUUGUUGUAUCCUGGGAGAAUUUCUACUAACGUUUCUCCAAGUACCAUAGGAAACUGUGUUUCACAGGCCUCAACGUUUCGUAAAAUCUCAAUUCUUCUUUAUUUCAACUUUUUCUUAUGUUUUUAUUUGAUUCAUAUUUAAUAAAUUAAUUAUAAAUCAUUCUAUUUAUAUUUUAUUUCAUAUAUGUAUUUAUUUAUAAUUAAUUUAUUUUGUUUGCUAACGUGUUUUGUCCAAUAAACAUUAAUAAUAAAUUGUGGAAAUUAUUUAGUAAGUGGAGGUUUUAGACUCAACAAGUAGGGUCAGGAGGUUGACCAGUAUCUUAUAAGGGUAUAGUAACAUAUUUAAAAAAGAGAGACAUAUGUCAAUUUUUUAAGACUACUUGUGGAAUAAAAAAAGUACGUUGUCAGUGUACCAAAUACUCGCCCUAUAUACAUUUAUAUUUUUUUAUUAUUUAUUAUUUAAUAUUAAUUCAUAAUUUAAAUAUUAUGUGAUAACAAAAUUAAAAUUUAUUAACAUUAAGGAGAAGGAUCCACUUAUAUAUGUAAAAGCUAAAGGAAUUUUACACACUUUCGUAACUAUUUAUAUAAUUAAUAUUUUAACGAUCCAACUGUUAUAUUUUAUGGUCUAUUCAUGCAGAUUAUACAUGUCAAAUUUGAUGUAAAUUUAAAACUUCUAACUAUUUUCUUUUUGUAAAAAAAAUUCAAUCGUUGAUUAUAUAUUAGUAUAUAGAGUAUUUUAGAUCGAUACGAUAUAGAUAUCGAAUUGGUUCGAAAAUUUUCAUGCAUUACAAGUACAAUUAUAUUGAUAAAUUAAAUGGUUAAAUUAUUAAAAUAUUAAUCAUAUAAAUAAUUACAGAAUCCUGUAAAACUAUUUUAGUUUGUACGUUAUGUAAGUGACUAAUAUCAAUAAUAUCUUUUUGUUAUACUAAAAAUUUCUAACAAUAAUUUUACAAUAUAAAAAAAAUUUUGGUUUUAGAUUUUGUUUAAAGCAUUUUAAUUCAGAUUUUAAUAAACUAUAAUUUCUUUAUAUAUAAACUAAUUAUUUAGUAUUACUUUUUAAUAAUUUUUUGAAAUCGACAUUUUAUAAUACUACAUAAAUAGGCCAUAACAAAAUGUUUUUCUUGAAUAAAUACUUUUUAUAAUGGUUUUCUUGAAAUAUAAGUUCUAUAAUCAUUUUAAAUCAACAUAUUUUCAUAAUUUAAAUAUUUUAAAAUUUAGAUUGAAAAUAUUAACAAUAUAUUUCAAAUCCUAUUUUAAAUUUUUAUAUAUGCUAAUUUUCUUGUUUAUUAAUGUUCUUUUUUUUAGUUCGCUGCACAUUUUUUAAAUUAGUUAAUUUUUUAAAUAUUGAAAUUUCAAAUUUCAAAAUAGUAUAAUAAUAAUUAUGUUAUAAAAGGAAUUUCUAAAUAAUAUAUAAACAAACACUUUUAAAUAUAUAUAUAUAUUUAAUUUGUUUUUUGAAAUGAUUUUUCAUAUAAUUUUAGUGGGCUAUCAAACCAGCUUUCCAACCAUAUAUAGUUUUGAGUGGAAAUAAAGCAUCGAAUAAAAAAAAAGGUGGUCGACUACAAGAUAAAUCACCCAGCCUCUGAAUAACCAUGAAGCAACAAGUUGUUGAUACAUCCCAAACGCAAGUGCUUAUGCAGCUUUCCUAAUACUCACCCCUUUUUAGAGAUUUAAAGCAUAAAAGAAGUCUAUUCUCAUGGUUAAACCUGCCUGCCUAAGCUUAUAUCAAAAGAGUAAGAGCAAAGCAGGGAAAGGAAAAGCAGACGGCGUACCUUUUGGCUAUGAUCAAUAACCGAUAGUUUUCCCCCUUCUGUUUUUUUUUUCUUCUUAACAGAGCAAAGCCAGAAAGUAGUAAACUGAGAAAGACGACUUCUUGCUUACUUUAAAAGUAGGAAAGGAAGUUUGGAUUGUAUUUCAUGGAAACAGCUCAGAAAUGACAACCCAAAAUGUCUUAUUACAUAAACAAGGUUUUUCUUUUUCUCCUCUUAAAGGUGGAGUGAAUGAGUUAUCCAACGUGUAUGAGUGUUUUCAUAUAAGGUUAUUUUCCUAAUUAAUUUCCUUCUUUUAUUAUUAUUUUUGCUUUCUCUUUCUUCAACCACCUAUUCCUCAUCUAAUAUAUGUUUUUGGAUGAUUUAUUUAAUGGAGUGGUUAGCAUCAAACAAAGCACAUCACAACCAAAGUAGAAAAAAACAAGAAAUAAGGAAGAAUGUUUUCAAGGUUUAGAUAACAUCUUUGAGAGACGAUGCUAUUGAUUAAUUAAUGUAUCGAUUGCAUUUCGUGGAAACAACUCAGAAAUGACAUGCCAGCCGUCCCAAAAUGUCUUAUACCAAGAUAUAUUUUAUUUAUUUUUGCCAAAAUGGUAGCUAACAAAAACACACUUUUGACUCUGACUAAUGAACUUCUCACCUUUAGAAUGUUAAUUAUGAACAAAACAUAAGCAAGCAAACACACAAAGAUCAUCAAUUAAAAGAAGUCUACCAAACAAUAUUCUAUUCGGUGUUUUAUCAUAAAGAAGAGGUGAAGGAGUUCAAUUAAUAAGAUGAAAAGCAGUCAAAACACACUCCCAAAAAACAAUAUAGACAAAUUUCCUUGAAAAUGCAAAACACAAGCCACAUUUAAAAUGUGUUGAUGUUUCCUUUCGCUCUCCCAUUUUGUUGAGGAGUACUAACAUAAGAAAUUUAAAAAAUAAUGUCAUUUGUAAGAAAAUAAUCUUGGAGGCAAUUAAAUUCCGUCUCAUUAUCACUUCUCACAAAUUUUAUCUAUUGGGAAAAUUGACGAUCAAUCAUAGUAAAAAAAUGACAUGAAAAUCUUGAAAAUAGCGGUGGAUCUAUGAGAUGGCAAAGACCCUAACCCCCCUAAAAUGGAAAAUCAUUCAUUUAGGCUCUUUAAAAAUUUUAAAAAUUUAAAUUAAUAAAUAUAAAAUUAUACUUUGGUCCCCUAAUAAUGAUAAGAUUUAAUUUAAUCCUUUAAAAAUUAUAAAGAUAUAGACUAUUGAAAAUUAUAAUUUAAUUUCGACCCCAAGAAAAAUUUUUCACAUUUGCCCCUGCUUGAAAACCUCAUUCUUAUUAACCAAUAGAUAUACCCAAAGAGCACAAGAGAAAUCAUCAACCAAUGUAAAAAAUUAAUGAGAUCCACAAUAUGAAAGAGUAUCAUAAAACCCCAUAAAUCACAAUAAACUAACUCAAGAAUUCAAGUGGCUUUCUAUUCACUAACUAGAAAACUAUUUUUUGUUUGUUUAACACGAUGCCAAAUUUUGCAUGAUUUAUUCAAAUGAUCUCUAGAGUUACUAACAUAAGGAAAUAACUUUACUACUUUCUCGGAAGGGUGACCCAAUCUUCUAUGCCAAAGUUCCAAAGAGGAUAGAGCUUUAACCAAAACCACUUUGACCAUUGAUACUUGUCGAAAGUAAUAAAGUCCAUCUCGUCUCUCACCUGCUCUAAUCAACUCCCUCGAAAUGAAUGUUCAUUCAACCGAUUGGUAGUGGAUUGUGUAUUACCAAACACUACCAAAAGAGAUUUUCAUUGCUCAGCGGUAAAACCAGCCCUCCCCCUGAUGGAUUAUAUUGCCCCUGGUGGUGGAGAAGUAGAAUCACUACCAACCAUUGAAAACAAUUUUUUUUUGUGUGUGUGUGUUAAACACCAAGCUUAGAUACCAUGACAAGAAUAGGUAAUUCAUUUCAAUCGUAUUGAUAAGCUUCAAAAAUAUACAUAAUAUUUAUACAACAGUAGUCACGUAGAAAUAGGAAAGAUAUAUAAUAUAUUCCUAAAUAUAUGCUUAAAAGAUAUAUAAUAAUAUACAAUAUGUUUAGAUAUUCCUAAAAGAUAAUAUCUCAUAAUAAUAUUCUAAUAUUGUACCAAAUACUAGCCAUUUUUUAAAUUGUAUUUGUUUGUUACAAGUAUCAAACUAUUACGGCACGAAUUAUAUAAGGAAUUACAAAAUAGAAUCAAAUCAUUAGACCAUCACGAGAAUAAAAGUCGGUACAAUCAAUACUAAAGCCAACAAAUUAGAUUAAAUGGAUUAAAAGUCACAUAUGACCAUCGGAAUAUGGACUAAGCAAAAUUAAUAAUACCAAUUGGCAUCUAUUUAAUAUUUUUAAUUAUAUUCAUUUUGACUAAACGUACAAAAAAAAUGUUAGUGGGGCAUCAGGUUUUUUUUUUUGUUUGUUGCUAUCUACUAUUUGUUUUUGUUUUCUUUUUUUCUAAUAAGCAUUGAUUUUAUUCAUAAAAGAAAGAAGUACAAAGGUGCAAUAAACUACAGCCAAGCCACAUAACGCAACCAUUGAAUCAGACUCAAACUCCAUAACAUGCUUUGAGACCUUUGGGAAGAAGCAAAGAUAUUUUAAAACCUUGCUUGAUGGCUAAAGUGAAGGUUGACUCGUGGUUUUGUCAUUUCCACUAUGGUCAUCUUAAUUUUGGGGGUUUGAAGACUCUUAGACAGAAAGAAAUGGUCAGCGACCUUCCUCAGAUUGUCAUUCUUUCCCAGGUGUGUGAAGAUUGUGUUGUUAGCAAACAAAAUCGUGAACAAUUUCCCAAAGGAAAGUCUUUGAGAGCAAAACGUGGCUGGAAUUGGUUCAUUCAAAAAUCUAAGGGCCAAUAAAACCAUCAUCUAAUGGAGGUAAAAAAAUAUUUCCUUACUUUCAUUCAUGAUUAUUCCCGGAAAACAUGAGUUUAGUUCUUACAGGAGAAAUUAGAAGCAUUUAGUGCAUUUACUAGCUUCAAGGCAUUUGUUGAGAAUGAAAUCGGUAAAACCAUUCAAGCUCUUCGCACUUAAUGUGGAGGAGCAUAUUGCUCCAAGGAAUUUGAAGCAUUUCGUGAGAGUCAUGGCAUUCGAAAAGAGCUUACUACUGCAUAUACCCCCCAACAAAAUGGCGUAUCAAAGAGGAAAAACAUAACCAUACUUAAUAUGGUGAGGAGCAUGCUUGCUGGUGGAAGGGUCCCAAAACGAUUUUGGCUAGAAGCAGUAAAUUGGAGCAUCCAUGUUUUGAACAGAAGCCCAACUUUUGUUGUUCAAAACAUGACACCUGAAGAAGCUUGGUGUGGAAGGAGACCACCAACGAUAGAUCACUUCAAAUUUUUUGGUUACAUUGCUUAUGUACAUAUUCCAGAUGCAAAGAGAAAGAAGCUUGAUAACAAGGGAGAAAAGUGUGUGUUUCUAGGUGUAAGUGAAACAUCUAAAGCAUGAAAACUGUUUAAUCCUUUAACGAAGAAAUUGUGAUUACCAAAGAUGUAUGUAACUUUUGAUGGGGAGAACACUUGGAAUUAGGAGGACUAGCAACCUUCUCAAACCUUUACUGACACUGAAAUUAAAGAUGAAUGGCCACAACCUUUAGAUCAGCAGACUCGAGCACUUGAGAGUUCACCAAACCCAACAACCAUCAACCACCUACCAUCAAGUUAUAAUUAAAAUUGGCUAUUAUAGUGCAUGAUUAGAUUGGUACACGAAAUAUAUUUGUACCUAAAGUGAUUAAACAUACUAAAUGGAUUAAAAUGUAAGUAGACUAUUCAAAAUAAAAAAUUUUCUGACAUAUAAAACUUCAAAAAGAAUUUUAAUCUGUCAAUAUGUAAAAUCAAAAUAUUAAAUUAAGAUCAGUGUUGAACUAAAGCUUCAUCUAUAUAUAAUACUCUAAGCAACCCAUAAAGGAUGUUGACGGUAAAGGAUAGCUAAGCUUACCAUGAAAAUAUUAUUUUGAUUAUAAUAUAUUUUUAUCAAUAGAUAGAUAGCAUUAUUACUAGUAAACCUUCCCAAAUUUAAAAUAUUAUUUUUUUAAUAUAUUGAUUUGCGGAUCAAUUCAAUUCCCGAAAUAAAAUUCAAAAUAGUUACAUUAAAUUUAAUACAUUUAAUCAAGACAAAUCAUAUUAAUUUAACACCCUAAAAACUGUAACAUAUUACUACAUUUUUUUACCCUAAAACAACUAUUUGGUUAAUUAAUAAAUAAAUUGCUUAUUUCAUACAAUAUUUACCGUAAAUUUUACUAAUAUUUACAAAUACUCCUCUUAAUUAAGCUUGUUGCCUUAUAAUCUUAAUUACUUCAUUAAGCAUUUACUUAUUAUUAUUGAAAAAUUUUCAAAUAUCAGAAUUUAUAAUUGAAUUUAUCUUCUUUUUUUUCUGGCUUCAAAUUAACUCAAAUCAUUUAAAUUGUGAAACCAAAAAGUAUGCUUUAAUAUGUUUACUUUCAUACUCUAAUUUAUGAUUUUAUUUAUUUAUUUAUUUUGCUUACUAGUAAAAGUUUACAUGUUUGUAGUUCCCAAUGCCAUGCAUGAUGCACUUGAAAUAGAAUUGUGAGGUUAUAAUGUGAAAUGGAACAGUUCAAAUAGUUGUUUUACAAAAACUGAAAUAACCUUUCACGUUCUACCAACAGAUGCAGCCAUGUGCUUCAGUAGAGCAACUCAACCUACAAUAAAAAGGGCGUAUCUAUGGUCACUUUAUAAAUCUUUAGUUUAGCCAUGAUGAAAAUAGAAGAGUCAAUUACCAUUCGUUUUGAUUUGAAACGAAAUUGAGCUUUUCGCAUAAGCACCCAAACAUAUUUCCUUAUUCCAGCUUGGGAAACUGAUCAGUAACCUUCGUCACCUCAGAAUUUUGCACAUUCUGUGCAUGAUCAUAACAAACCAAGAAUUGUUCAAUUAACUAUGUAUGUAUGUAUGUAAAAACACGUGAAUUUAAAUCCUUUAAAUGAUUUGUACCAUUUCAUCGAACAUAUGUUUUAUGGUAGUGUUAAGGUCGCCUUCCCACUGCAGUUCACCUUCCUCAUCUCUUGUUAAGUGCAUUUGUUCCAGCCUUGGUGUGCUUAAAUCUCCUUGGCAGAAAUUCCUCAUUUUGGAGCACUUUGUCACCUUCACCAUUAGCAAGACUGGGAAUUCCAACGAGUGAUGGGCCAAGGAAAAGCUUGCUAGACAUGGUAGACAGCUUAGUUGCAAAUACUGCAGUUUGGGAAAUACAAUGCCGCCUUGCAUUUCUUCGGCCUCACACGCUAUGAUUUCCUCUAUCAUCCCACAAUCAUCUAUGCUCAAUCUUUCCAGUAGCCUCAGGCACUUAGCUGUUGAGCAUGCGAUUAAAUUGAUGAACCCAUGGCAUCUUGAAACUUCCAGUGUCGUUAGAUUUUUGAAAGACAGCAAAGAUGGUUCAAAAGUCUUUAACGUCAACUCUGGAAGUUGACACAAACUUAAUUCCUUUAGCUGAUAGAACGCUGAUGUAUGCCUUUCGUCGUCGCUGAGUCCUUCAGAUUGUACUAUUUGACAAAUGGAAGCAUUGUCUAUAACAAGCUUAUGAAGCAUUGGUAGUGACCGAAUGAAUGAAUAUGGAAGAGUAGUGGAUGCCUCACGAAAGAAUUGGAGGUUAAGAAGUUUAAGGUUUUGGAAACACUGCAAUGAGAGCUGUCCAUCACAUAUCCCCUUCACCAUAUCAUUCGUCUUCAGUGUCAGUUCUUCUAAUACAGGGAAAGUGUCCUGGAUGGCAACGAAUAUAUUAAACAUUGAUCAAAGAGUUUUGAAUUGGUAAGAACUAGACUACAGAAUGAAUAUCAUUUCCAUUUUCUUUCUCAUAAAUUUAAAAGGAAGGUAAGUGUUAAGAAAUGGCUUAAAAUUGGUAGUGGAUUGUUGUUGUUGGUAGUGGGUUGUUGGUGGUAGUGGAUUAGUGGAUGGUUGUUGGUGUCCAUUUUCAACCACAAAUCUUUGCCAAAGUUUUGGACAAUUAUGUCCUUGAACUCUCUUAUAAAUAGAGAGGUUCAUUAGCCAUAUUCAUCAUCCCAAACCAAGAGAGAGCAAAGCUUGUUCUUUGAAAGCUAGGAUUUUAGCUUUCGGGUUUUCUAUAGGGGUUGAGAGUUGUGAGGUUCUCGGGUUGUGUCUUGAGUGUAAAACACUUGUAAUCUUCAUCUUGUUAUAGUGAAAUUUCUUUUCGCCUCUGCCCGUGGACGUAGGCAUUAAAGCCGAACCACGUAAAUCCUUGUGUUCACUUUAUUUUUCGUUUCGGUCAAUUUACUUGUAGUCAUAUCGGAGUUCUCGAAUCGAUCCUUUCCGCAACAAAUUGGUAUCAGAGCGUAGUUGAAGGAGUGAUAAUAUUUUCUGAAUUGCCCUGUGACUGCAGCUUUGUCUGAUCUUUCACAUCAGGAAGAAAAUAUUAUCAUUCAUUCAAAGGUUCCAAAUUAUGGCUACAAGUGUUUCAUCGACUAAGUAUGAUGUCGAGAAAUUUACCGGGAAAAAUAGUUUCAGUUUAUGGCGCAUCAAGAUGCGGGCAGUGCUGGUUCAACAAGGAUUGCUAAAAGCAUUGUCUGGUAAAGAUAAAUUACCAAGCACGCUUUCGGAAGAGCAAAAGGAUGACAUGCUAGAAAGAGCACAUAGUGCUAUUCUGCUAUGUCUAGGAGAUGAAGUGCUACGAGAAGUAGCGGAUGAGAAAACCGCGUCCGGUUUGUGGCUCCGGUUAGAGAGCAAGUACAUGACGAAGUCAUUGACGAACCGGCUCUACCUCAAGCAAAGACUCUAUGCCCUGAAGAUGGAGGAAGGUACACCUGUUUCCCAGCACCUGGAUAAAUUCAAUUCCAUUAUCAUGGAUUUGAAUAAUAUCGAUAACAAAAUCGAUGAUGAGGACCAAGCAAUAAUUGUUUUGUGUUCUUUGCCUCCCUCGUAUGAGAAUUUUGUUGAUACAAUGAUGUACGGUCGUGAUGACCUGACUCUAAAGGAGGUGAAAAAUGCCUUAAGUUCCAGUGAGUUGAGGAAGAAAAUCACUGGUAAGGUGGUCGAAAACAAUGAAGGCGAAGGCUUGGUUGCUCGAGGAAGAUCCAAGGCAAAGGGUGGAAGUUCAAGCAAAAGCCAUCCUAGAUCGCAGUCCAAGAAGAGAAUACAGUGCUACUACUGUAAGAAGUACGGGCACAUGAAGGUAGAUUGUCCGAAAAGGAAGGAGAAAUCAGAAUCACAGGAGCAACAAAAUGAUCGUGCGAAUGUAGCUGAUGCAGAUUCUUCAAGUGAUGCCGAGAUCGUUCUUGCAGUAUCCGACUCUUACGCUGGUGGGAGAUGGAUUCUUGAUACGGGAGCUACAUUUCAUAUAAGUACUUCGAAAGAUGCAUUCUCAACAUACGAGAAGCAUUCUGGUUCAGUACUAAUGGGAAAUGACCACGCAUGUCAAGUCAUGGGGAUUGGCACAGUUCGUAUAAAGAUGUUUGACGGUAUUGUUAGAACUCUAACUGAUGUUCGGCACAUUCCAGAAAUGAAGAAAAAUUUGAUCUCUUUGAGUACGUUGGACAAGAAAGGCUUUCGGUACUCUGCUGAAGGUGGAGUUCUCAAGGUAUUCUCGGGUGCUUUGACUGUGAUACGUGGUAAUUUGGAGCGGGGCCUUUACUUCCUCGAUGGUUCCUCGGUUACAGGUGUUGCGGGAGUGUCAUCAUCAGAUGAUCUAGAUUCUGACACCACGAAGUUAUGGCAUAUGCGGCUCGGGCAUAUGAGCGAGAGAGGCUUAUCGGUGCUAAGCAAACGAGGAUUAUUGUCUGGGCAGAGUACAGGAAAGUUGAAUUUCUGUGAGCACUGCGUCUUCGGUAAGCAGACUCGGGUAAAGUUCAGCACUGGGAUUCACAAGACAAAAGGCACAGUGGAUUACUUCCAUUCUGACCUUUGGGGGCCUUCUCCGACAAUUUCUAAAGGUGGUUACAGAUAUCUGCUUACCUUUAUCGAUGAUUACUCGAGAAAGGUUUGGGUGUAUUUUCUGAAGAGCAAGUAUGAGGUUCUCAUCAACUUCAAGCAAUUUAAAGCUUUGAUCGAAAAUCAAACAGGAAAGAAGAUCAAGCGAUUCCGGACGGAUAAUGGCUUGGAGUUUUGCUCAGGUGAAUUCAAUGAGUUCUGCAAAAAUGAAGGAAUAGUGAGACACCGCACUGUUCGUCGAACACCACAACAAAAUGGAGUUGCAGAACGCAUGAAUAGAACUCUCUUGGAGCGAGCUCGUUGCAUGCGAUCAAAUGCUGGGCUCGGUGAAGAAUUUUGGGCUGAAGCUGUUAAUACUGCUUGUUAUUUGGUUAACAGAUCUCCGUCAACAGCUAUUGAGCUGAAGACUCCUGAGGAAGUAUGGUCUGGUUCUCCUGCUGAUUACUCUGGUUUAAGAGUGUUUGGCUGCCCUGCGUAUGCUCAUGUAAAUGAGGGAAAACUCAAACCGAGGGCGAAGAAAUGCAUAUUUCUUGGAUACGGCCAAGGGGUGAAAGGAUACAGGUUGUGGUGUCCUGAUCCGGUUUCGUCCAAGUUCAUCAUCAGCAGAGAUGUGACUUUUGAUGAGUCAUCCAUGCUUCGAUCCACCACAAAUUCCCGGGAAAAGGAGGAGUCAGAUAGAAUGGGAGAUCACGGUGUUGAGAAGCAGGUGGAGUGUCAGGUGGACGCUCCAAUUCCUACGGAAGGUACUUCAGUCCAGGAUGAUCAAGUUGAGGUGCAAGAUUCCGAUGAAGAUGAGUCACCUCAAGAAAAACCAUAUAGCAUUGCCACUGGAAGAACGAAGAGACAAAUCAAACCAAAUCUGCGUUACGCUAAUCUGGUGUCUUUCGCGCUCAGUGUGGCGGAGUCCAUUGGUAUAGAACCUUCCAGUUAUAAUGAGGCUGUCACGUGUGAUGAGUCGGCACAGUGGGCAAUUGCUAUGAGUGAGGAGAUAGAAUCUCUUCACAAGAACCAUACUUGGGAGUUGGUUAAGCCGCCAAGUAACCAGAAGAUAGUUGGUUGCAAAUGGGUCUUCAAGAAAAAGGAAGGCAUCCUAGGGGUUGAAGCAACUAGAUUCAAGGCACGAUUGGUUGCUAAAGGCUUCACUCAGAAAGAGGGGAUUGACUACAAUGAAGUUUUCUCCCCAGUCGUAAAGCAUUCUUCCAUUCGUGUAUUACUUGCCAUGGUGGCCAAGUCUGAUCUAGAACUUGAGCAGCUUGACGUAAAAACGGCGUUCUUGCAUGGUGAGCUCGAGGAAACAAUCUACAUGCGUCAACCAGAGGGUUUUACAGUUCCUGGUAAAGAAGACCAUGUCUGUCUAUUAAAGAAGUCUUUAUAUGGAUUGAAACAAUCCCCAAGGCAGUGGUACAAGCGGUUUGAUAGCUUCAUGAUUCAGCAUGGUUACACAAGAUGUGACUAUGAUGCUUGUGUCUAUCAUCGGAAGCUCUCAGAUGGUUCGCACAUUUAUUUGUUGCUGUAUGUUGAUGACAUGUUAAUUGCUUCCAAAAACAUGUCGGAAAUCAACAAGUUAAAGUCGCAGUUGAGUGGUGAGUUCGAGAUGAAGGAUCUGGGUGCUGCCAAGAAAAUUUUGGGCAUGGAUAUUCACAGAGAUCGCAAGGCGGGCAAGCUUCGUGUGUCGCAGAAGAACUACAUUGAAAAGAUUCUUCAACGCUUCGGCAUGGAUAAAGCGAAAACUGUGAGUACUCCGUUGGCACCACAUUUCAAACUCUCUGCAGAGUUGUCACCACAAUCUGAUGAAGAAAAGCAGCAAAUGUCUCACAUUCCAUACUCGAGUGCAGUUGGAAGCGUGAUGUAUGCAAUGGUUUGCACUCGUCCAGACAUUUCACAUGCAGUUAGUGUGGUCAGCAGAUACAUGAGUUGUCCUGGCAAGGAACACUGGCAGGCCGUGAAAUGGAUUCUCAGGUACUUGAGAGGUUCUGCAGAUUUAUGCUUGGUAUAUGAUCAGAGUGACUGCACUAGCAGUGUCACGGGCUAUGUGGACUCUGAUUAUGCUGGAGAUCUGGACAAAAGAAGAUCUCUGACGGGUUAUGUUUUCACUUAUUCUGGAGGAGCCAUUAGUUGGAAAGCUGUGUUACAGUCUACCGUAGCCUUAUCUACGACUGAGGCGGAAUAUAUGGCGUUAGCAGAAGCAGUGAAAGAAGCAUUGUGGAUGAAAGGUCUAGUAAGCAGUUUGGGUUUACAACAGGAUUUCACUGUUGUAUUUUGCGAUAGCCAGAGUGCCAUACAUCUGACUAAAAAUCAGAUGUUUCAUGAACGGACCAAACACAUUGAUGUCAGAUAUCAUUUUGUUCGGGAACAUGUUACGCAAGGUGACAUUGUUAUCAGCAAGGUUGCUACCGAGAAGAAUCCUGCAGAUAUGUUAACUAAGGUGAUCCCUGCAUAUAAGUUCAAGCAUUGCUUGGACUUGAUAGGUAUUCGGGAUUGAUUAGCGCCAGAGAGGCGUUUGGAAGAGGUGAUCCAGUUCACUAUGAUGUUCAGCUUGGUAAAUUUCAAGCCAAGGUGGAGAUUUGUUAAGAAAUGGCUUAAAAUUGGUAGUGGAUUGUUGUUGUUGGUAGUGGGUUGUUGGUGGUAGUGGAUUAGUGGAUGGUUGUUGGUGUCCAUUUUCAACCACAAAUCUUUGCCAAAGUUUUGGACAAUUAUGUCCUUGAACUCUCUUAUAAAUAGAGAGGUUCAUUAGCCAUAUUCAUCAUCCCAAACCAAGAGAGAGCAAAGCUUGUUCUUUGAAAGCUAGGAUUUUAGCUUUCGGGUUUUCUAUAGGGGUUGAGAGUUGUGAGGUUCUCGGGUUGUGUCUUGAGUGUAAAACACUUGUAAUCUUCAUCUUGUUAUAGUGAAAUUUCUUUUCGCCUCUGCCCGUGGACGUAGGCAUUAAAGCCGAACCACGUAAAUCCUUGUGUUCACUUUAUUUUUCGUUUCGGUCAAUUUACUUGUAGUCAUAUCGGAGUUCUCGAAUCGAUCCUUUCCGCAACAGUAAGAAUAUUAGUUAUUUCAAAAGGCAUUUUAUAGGUAAUCUCAAGUAAUGAACACGGAGUAUGAAACUGUUAGUGAGCUCACCUCGUUAACGCAAAACAAGGGUUGUUGGUUUGAGAUUCCAACCUGACUCUCAGGACAUUGUGGAGUAAAUAUCUGUACUUUGGGGCAUUCAAUAAUGUCCAUUUGUUUCAAUGAAGGCCACUGGGUGGUAUGCAUCCUGGAGUAGAAACUUUUCAAUCUCGGCACCUUAUCCAAUCCGAGGUUUAUUAGUUUGGGAAAUACAAACUUGGUCGUCUCUGUUUCAGCCAUAAUAGACUGAGCAGCUGAUGUUGACUGUGACUCAUCAGCAAUGACUCCUUGCAGCUCAAUAAUUUGUUCUAACGAAUCACAAUUCUGAAUCCGCAACUUCUCCAAACUAGGGAAAACAACCUGCUAAAUCAUUUCAUUAGGUUAAUAACUGAAAUAUGCAUGGAAAAGAAAGAACUUCAAAUGAAUAAGAUCAAUCGAAGCAACAUAAAUUAAAAGGAGAACCCGUAAAGAAAUGACCUUUUCAUUGAGGAGAGAUGAGUUAUGAACCUCCAAGUUACUCGCUUGUACAUGUUGGCCAAUUUCAGGUUCACCUUCGGAUACACAUUUAGUGAUCAAUGUUUUUAGCAAUGGACAAUUUGUUAGUUCUAAAUCUGUCUAACAUUGGAAUUCAAAGUAAUUCUCAAAGCAGAAACUUGUGAGUUUGGGAAGGUCUUUUAGCCACAGCAAUUCUAGUUCAGAGAAAAACAUCUGAUUCCUCCCUUGAUGUUCUUCAACCAAUCCAUCCGUGAAUAUUACUUGUUCCAUCAUAUUACAGUCCAAAAUUUCAAGGCGUCGGAGUUGCACAAGAUCUUUUACCAAGAAAGACGGGAACAGGUAUUUCAAAUUGUGACACCUCUUCACUUGCAAGGAAUUUAGGAAUCCGACAGAUGGGGAGGAUGGGUGGUGCCAUAUCUCAUGAAUGUUAACGAAGGACAAUUCCAGAUGCUGCAAACGAGGAAUGAUAACCUGUUGACAUAAAUUUCAUUAUAAGAUAACAUCAAAACUCUUCCUUCUUUACUUACAAACACAAUCAAAAAGAGUAGAUAAGUACGAAGAUUUAUAAACUGAUAAAUAUAGCUAGCAGACGUGGACCUUUUUUACUUAGAUGAAAUGUUCAGCAGCAUAAAUGUAACCUAAAGCAAAAUUUGUUUUUUUUUUUUUAAAGAAAGAAGCCUUUUUCUAUACAACUUGGAGCUUUCAUAUAUACUAUAAUGAUUGUUGAAUGAUUAUUAUUGAUGCGAUUCGACAGGGGAAUAUGCUUGUUUCUAAUUAAGUUGGACUCACAUAUUUAUGUAGUUUCCAUUAAUGAUUUACAUUAAUUACUUAAGUUAUUUAAUGAGUUACCUUAAAAAAUAGUUAGGCAUAGAUAAUUUAUUUAACCCUCCAACUUUAUAAAAAAAAAAAUUCAUUCUAGUUCUCUAUUUAAAUUUUUAUUUCUUUUAUCUUUUGAACUUGUGUUAUUUGUCAAAUCAUUCAAAGUAGAGAAAAAAAAAUUGACAUUUGUUAACUUUGUUGAUGUUAUAUACACUGUAGAUGACAUGUCAACAAUUAAUUUUUAUUUUAUUUUGAAAAUUUUAUAAAAAUAUUUAAAAAUAUAUAAAAUAUUUUAAAAAUUAAUUAAUUGCUAAUUUUGCAUACACAUGGAUUGCCACAUAAGCGAAGUUAACAAACAUAAACUUUUUUAUUCAUUUUGAGGUGAUUUGACAAAAAUGCAAAUUCAAAAGAUAAAAAAGAUGAAAAAUUUAUGUAACAUUAGUCGUAGCUAUUAUAAAUAAAUAUUAAUAACUUUCGGAUUUAAGAUCUUAUGUUUAAGGGCUUAUAAUUUCAAGUUUAAGAUUUAGGGUUUUAACAUUUAAUUAUAAUUAAUUUUUAUUUAAUUAUGUUUAGAUAAAUUUAUUAGUAUUUAUUUAUAAACCCUUUACUAUAUUUUUGUGGUAUUUAAUGAUAAUUGUAUGUUCUUAUUCACCGAUGAUACAUGAAGCUUGUGUACCGCUAGUACAUCAAAUAUUCUUCAAAUUAAAAUAUAUGAAGAUUAGUUUUUUAUUUUAUUUUCUAUUAUUAUUUUAUUAUUUAUUGUCCAUUAGUAUUUAACUUUAAAACUUCUCUUAAAUUUUUAUUGUUUAUUAGUAUUUCACUUUUAAGUUUUUCCUUUAUUCUUAUUUUAUAUAUUUAUUUAUACUUUAAACUUCAAAUUAAAAAAUAUUAUCUUAUUUACUAAUAUUUAUCACGUAUUACGUAUAUUUAUUUAUACAACACGUAUCACGUGACAUUAAUACUAAAAUAUAUAUAGACCAGACACACUCAUAUAAAUUAAUCAAAUAAAAGGAAAAUGUGAAAUAAGUUGUGCAGAUAAAUAUUGAAUACUAAACUUACCUUAUUGCUGAAAAAUAUUGCAGGGUUAUCAUAGAUGCCCCCCUCGCCAACCACGUUUUCACUUGCAUCUCCACUUCCUCUUGAACCUGAGGAAGAAAAUGUAGUCAUUUUUGGACACUCAACUAUUGCGAUUCUAAACAACUCUGGAAAUUCAAGAGCUUGACUUCCCAAAUAGAAAUUUGUCAAGUUGGAACACAACUCAAUUCUUAUGGAGAAGAGUGCAAGAAAUGUGAAUUUAUCUGUCAUUGCUUCCUCCCUAACCACUUGUUCCAUUGAACUGCAUUCUUUUACUUUUAUCACUUGUAGUUGAUUGAGGCUCAAAAGCAUAGACGAAGUAAAUAUGUAUUUCAAGCUACUACAUUUAUAAAAAUGCAACGAAACAAGGUUUUUGAAGCCCAAAAUUUCUUGAGGGUUUCUAAUCCAUUUUUCUAUUGACUUGGGAAUUGUGUCAGAGAUGUCCAAAUCGUAUCCGUCAUAGAAUCCAUCCUAAAAAAAAAAUUAUAAUAUUAUUCCACUAGAUGGCAAUCACAAAUAGAAAAUUAAUUGUAUCAGGACAGGAAGAAGCUAACUAGUUUUAUGAACUUAUUAAUUAACUUUGUACCUUUUCCGUGUAGAGCUGUUGUAUGGUGGAAUUUAAGUCACUUGCCCAACUCCAUUUCUCAGGGUAACUCGACUGUUUUACUCUUCGUAACUGUGGGGUGCUUAAAACUCCUUCAGUAAAGGUCUUUAAUCUAGGACAGUGUUCCACAACUAAUUCUUCCAAACAAGGGAAGUUGAAGGUGUAAUUCCUUGAACAAAAGCUUGUGAGGCUCUGUAAAUAGCUUAGUUCUAAACAUUUCAAUUUAUUCACAACUAUUGUCUGAUGGCAGUCUCCCCCAUUUCCCGCUAUUUCUGUCAUUUUAGUGCACCCCGUCACCCUCAUUCUCGUUAAUUGCACAAGAUUCUUAACCACUAAGGGUGUAACUAAGUUUGUCAUCAUUUGACAAUAUGACACAUUCAAAGUUGUGAGAUUUUGCAAAGAUGAGGAGGAGACUGUAAUAUUUAUCAAAUCAUCACAUUCCCAAACUUCGAGUUUUUGGAGAUUAGAAACAAUAUGGUCAAACUCCGAAUCUUUCCUCCAUAUAUGAUUAAGAU
rnacentral:lncRNA from 1 species